ACAUCCUCAACCUGCUUCGUUCUAUCGAACCAAGUAGGCUUGGAAUUUGGAGGUUUUUCUGCUGGCUUCCUCUGUGAAGCCAGCUCCUCUUAAAUCUAUCAGUGGGAUCCGCUUUGCUAGAUCCUCGACGUUGAUAAGAUGUUUCUACGUCUUGGGUUUCGCUCGGGAAAGGACCUGCUUCUAACCGUCCCCCCAUCGGGGACAAUGUUCGAGAGCCGAUCGCCCUUCACGGGGUGGGAAGCUUUUCGACCCAUGAAA
rnacentral:misc_RNA from 1 species